GGUCACCAAUCAGUGGGAGGUGUCAAUUGACUUCUGACGCAAGUUAGAUAGGUGCAAGUGUAUGGACAAUGGUGACAACGUGUGGAACUUUCUGGAUAAAGUAUUUCUACACCGCAUCUUCUGUUACCUGAAGUGACUUUUCGGCUGCGUGGAGAGGAGAUUACUUUGCGCAGUUGAGAUUAGUUUCCGGUGAAGCAACAACUUUAGUAGCUCAGCCGCUACCAUAGCGUAUAUGCUUGCAAAAAUGUGUCAUGGUAAAAUCACGCCAAUAAGCCUUGAUGAUUCAUGAAGGGUGAGCCGAUGGUGAUAUUCUCGACUCUUGUUUGCUUUGGCGUUGAUGGAAAAGUGAUUGAAGCUGUGAACCUCGACAGGGACAAGAUCUUUUUAUUCGGGAAAAUGCUCUGGACCCUGGAAAGGACUGCACUUGAAGUGAAUCCUCCCCAGGCCUUGCUCCAGUCUUGACCGGAGACGACCGAGUGAGGAGCCGUUUAAAAUUGAUCCGUUUGCUGAGCAAUGGAAAUCCAAUCCAGUGCAGGAUUCAAUUGGUGGACUUCAUUAAUGUGAUGAAAGCUGACCCUAAAUGUUCAGUAAAGUUUAAAGACAAAAAAAAGCAUGUGUUGUUUUAGAAAUGCUGUAGCUGUAUACUUGAGUAUUCAUUUUAUUUUUAAUAAUAAAGUUGUUAAGAUCA